UACGUAGGGGGCGAGCGUUGUCCGGAUUUAUUGGGCGUAAAGAGCUCGUAGGCGGUUCGAUAAGUCGGACGUGAAAUCUCCACGCUCAACGUGGAGGGCCGUUCGAUACUGUCGUGACUCGAGUCCGGUAGGGGAGUGUGGAAUCCCGGUGUAGCGGUGAAAUGCGCAGAGAUCGGGAGGAACACCCGUAGCGAAGGCGGCACUCUGGGCCGGUACUGACGCUGAGGAGCGAAAGCGUGGGGAGCAAAGCAGGG
rnacentral:rRNA from 1 species